GCCUGGUUGGCUCAGUUGGUAGAGCAUGAGACUCGUGAUCUUGGGGUUGUGAAUUCAAGCUCCAUGUUUGGUG
rnacentral:tRNA from 1 species